GAAUUGUUCGCAAUGGGCGAAAGCCUGACGACGCAAUGCCGCGUGGAGGAUGACAACCUUCGGGUCGUAAACUCCUUUCGACCGAGAUGAACUCCCGCCGACCUAAUACGUCGGCGGGCUGACAGUAUCGAGGGAAGAAGCCCCGGCUAACUCCGUGCCAGCAGCCGCGGUAAUACGGGGGGGGCGAGCGUUGUUCGGAAUUACUGGGCGUAAAGGGUUCGUAGGUGGCUUGCCAAGUCAGACGUGAAAUCCCCCGGCUCAACCGGGGAACUGCGUCUGAAACUGGUUGGCUUGAGUGCAGGAGAGGAACGCGGAAUUCCAGGUGUAGCGGUGAAAUGCGUAGAUAUCUGGAGGAACACCGGUGGCGAAGGCGGCGUUCUGGACUGUUACUGACACUGAGGAACGAAAGCCAGGGGAGCAAACGGG
rnacentral:rRNA from 1 species